rnacentral:rRNA from 1 species
UACGUAGGGGGCAAGCGUUGUCCGGAAUUCAUGGGCGUAAAGAGCGUGUAGGCGGCCUAGAUAAGUCCGCUGUGAAAUCUCGAAGGCUCAACUUCGAGCUGUCGGUGGAAACUGGUCUGGCUAGAGUCCGGAAGAGGAGAAUGGAAUUCCUGGUGUAGCGGUGAAAUGCGCAGAUAUCAGGAAGAACACCCGUGGCGAAGGCGGUUCUCUGGGACGGUACUGACGCUGAGACGCGAAAGCGUGGGAGCGAACAGG